rnacentral:rRNA from 1 species
AACCAGCAGCUCCCAUCUGCGAUAAAUCAUUCAAGUUUCUGCCCUAUCAGCUUUGGAUGGUAGUGUAUUGGACUACCAUGGCAGUCACGGGUAACGGAGAAUUAGGGUUCGAUUCCGGAGAGGGAGCCUGAGAAACGGCUACCACAUCUACGGAAGGCAGCAGGCGCGCAAAUUGCCCAAUCCCGACACGGGGAGGCAGUGACAAGAAAUAACAACUCUUGGAUUUCUAAGAAGUGUAAUGAGGAUAAUUUACAACCCUUACCGAAAGCAAUUGGAGGGCAAGUCUGGUGCCAGCAGCCGCGGUAAUUCCAGCUCCAAUAGCGUAUAUUAAAGUUGUUGCAGUUAAAAAGCUCGUAGUUGAAGUUCUGAUUGUUCGGGCCUCGCGCUUUAUAGCCGAGGAACCGACAGUCAUCCGCUUGCAAAUAUAUGUUCGCCUUUAACCGGGUGGCUAUAUGAGUAAGCAAUUUACCUUGAGAAAAACAGAGUGUUCCAGGCAGGUUUGUCCGGAAUGCAUUAGCAUGGAAUAAUAGAAUAUGACUGAAGUCGAUUUAUUGGUUUAAGGCUUUAGUAAUGAUUAAUAGGAACAGUCGGGGGCAUUGGUACUUGACAGUCAGAGGUGAAAUUCUAGGAUUUGUCAAAGACUAACAAAUGCGAAAGCAUUUGCCAAGGAUGUUUUCAUUAAUCAAGAACGAAAGUUAGGGGAUCAAAGACGAUCAGAUACCGUCCUAGUCUUAACUAUAAACUAUACCGACUCGGAUUCAGAUGAAUCAAAAAGUUCAUUUGGGACCGUAGGAGAAAUCAAAGUUUUUGGGUUCUGGGGGAAGUAUGGUCGCAAGGCUGAAACUUAAAGGAAUUGACGGUUUUGCACCACCAUGGAGUGGAGUUUGCGGCUUAAUUUGACCCAACACUGGGAAACUCAUCAGGGCAAGAAGAUUUUAGGAUUGACAGAUUGAGAGUUCUUUCUUGAUUGGUCUAGUGGUGGUGCAUGGCCGUUCUUAGUUGGUGGAGUGAUUUGUCUGGUUAAUUCCGUUAACGAACGAGACCUUAACCUGCUAACUAGUAUUAGUAUCCCAAAUACUAACUACUUCUUAGAGGGACUAUGUGAUGUAAUCACAUGGAAGUUUGAGGCAAUAACAGGUCUGUGAUGCCCUUAGAUGUCCUGAGCUGCACGCGUACUACAAUGGCACUUUCAACGAGCAUUUCCUGAUCCGAAAGGAUUUGGGUAAUCUUUUUAGUGAGUGCCGUGAUUGGGAUAGAUCUUUGUAAUUAUGGAUCUUGAACUA